GCCAAGGAGAAGCAUGUGUGCUGUGCAUGGACUGAGGAGGCAGAAAAGAGACCCAACUCUGCUUCCGUGUGCUGGGGUGAAACAAGAGCAUUCAUUCCUUAUUCUAGAAACAUCCUGGGACCCAGCUUCCAUUUUUACUAUAUAUGUAACCAUUCUAGGGAGUCAUUCAACUUUUCUUGCAUCCUUCUUCUCAGCAUUCCUGAAGAGCCAGCAGCGCCCAGGCCUCUGCCAGGAAUCGGGAACCAGAGUUGUCCUCUAGAAAGAGCUCACAGUUUCAUAAGGCCUCUUCUGUCACAGUGUGGGUGUCACCGCUUCAGGUGAAAGAGUCAGGACCCCCAAGGAAUUGUGUCAAUCAAGGCGGGUCAAGAUGGGAUGGCGGCCACAUUACUUCAGUUAGUAAAAACACAUGUGCAAGAUUUUAAAUGGCCAGAUUCUAGUGUUAAACAUCACUUCCAUUUUCAAAAAGUCCAAUGA
ensembl:lncRNA